AGAAGAGAAUGCCUUUAUUCUGUAUAAUAAACUAAACAAUGCCAAUUAUCCCACAGUGGAUGCCUUUAAAAUGCCAGAAACAAAUUGAGAAAAAAUAAAAAUUUGUGCCAUUAUGCCGUAAUACUCACAUUCUGUUAAUUUGCUUUGAAGAGUAAAAUAUUUUUGGAAACCUUAGUUUAACAAUAGUAAAAUAUUUUGGAAACCUAAAUUUAAUAGCAAUUUGACUACCAUUAAAACUAGCUUAUUUUAGAGAUUCCCUCUAAAAUGUUUAUCCAAGGGCCUAAGAUACUUCUUCAGUGAUGGUUAGUGCUGUCUUCCAGGCAGCCUUUGCUUCAGAAAUCUAGGGAGUGGCAACAAAGGCCUAGGCUUUUGGAAGAGGGGUGGGGUCCAUGCCAAAAGGAUAAUGAGAGGAGAAGGGAAAUGGUAUAGAGCCUAUCUUUGUCAUUUUGCAAUUUGGCUCAGGCUCACACUGUCCCAUUCUCAGAAAGCAGUUUUAUUUAUAUCUGAGGACAGAUAACUACUGUGCUACCAGUGCAGAUGCUAAAAGAAUCUUUCAAAUGCCAAAAGACAGUCCACAGGGGAGCAGUUCUGACUUUCUCUCAGCCUAGCAGUCAAUACAAGUUUAGUUGCCUGAAGCUUCUCUUGUUUUGUCAAAGACUUUAAGGAUCAAAUAAAACUUGCAAGGGUAUCUCAACAUAGCACAUCUAUAACAUAUACAUAUUAGUAACUAUAAUUAUAAUAACUAUUAUUCUCUGAGGUUAGGAGGGAGGGCAUACAGAAAACGAUGAGCACCUUGAGACCCAAUCAGGACAACCAGACUAAAAUAAACUCAACUCAAAGGGCAGAGCUGGAUUCAGUAGGUCAAUGAUGGACACUGAAACUGGAUUGAUGUGUAGAGUAUAUGGCUUAAGUAGUGGAAGCUUUUACCAUCAUUAGGGAUAAAGCAAAUGUUAGGACUUGCCUAUAUAUGGGCUGUGGGAAGAGGAGACAGUAAAACAAAGCAAAGAAGGAACAGGAGAGGAACCAGGGGUUUCAGCACCAUAGAGGCGAGAGUUGCCAGUGGAAGGAAGCGGUCAAGGGGAUCCACAGCUCUACAGGGGUCUUGGCAAUUAGAUGUCCCUGAUUAGCUGGAAAGGAGAUAUUUUAGCACAAGUCAGUGGCAAAGGGUUGAAUGAUAGUUGGAGGUGAGGAAGUAGAAACUGAAGAUGGCAUGAGGAAACAGAGUGCCUCAAAUAGGCAAGAAAAUUGAAAGUACAUAAAUACUUUAGGAUAAGAAAGACCUGAGUAAUAGAAAGAACUUGAGAGAGGAGACCAGUGAAAAGGCAGGUAAGAGAAGAUGCCAUUGAAGGAAGCAGCAGUGGUGGAGCAAGUGUGAGUUCCAAGAUGGAAGGCAUGAGGAUGGAAGGAGAAGACGAAUUUAAAAAAUUAAAAUGCUGAAGAAUUUGCUAAGGUGGACUGGAAGGAAACUGAUGCUCACAUGGAACAUCUCCAAAUUCAGAGUAAAGUCAUGCUGGGGUUGUUUAGAAAGGGUGAGAGGCUGUGACUAGAAACUAAUAGGGUAAAUGCUGUAGGGAACGUAAUAGAAAAUCAAGAGAGCUGAUUCAAGGAUUGCUGACUUCAGUGAGUCCUCAGCCCAAGCCACUGAAGAUUAACUUUAGAUACUUUGCUUCAGACUCUGCACAUUUGAGUGUAAACAUAGCGGGUAGCCACAGGCCACUCCUUAGGAAAGAGGCAGAACACUCAGCUAGCCCACUGUGUCUUGCAGCCUACACCCUGUCUAUUUGGAUGCUUAUAGCAUGACCUCUAGCCGUACCAGGCUCUUCUAGAUCCAAGCCCUGCUCACGCCCUGGUACUAAGUCUCAGGUAUUUAUGUGAUUCCUGGAAUGUUCCCUGUGGACUCAGUCUUCAUCCUUUUGGUCUACAGCUGAAACUGCUCCUGGCCUGGUUCCUAAAAGGUCUGGCUGUGUUUUCAUA
rnacentral:lncRNA from 1 species